UUUCUUCUAGAUGUUCUGACAUAUUAUUCAAUGUAUAAAUACCAGAAGAUUUCCCAUCCCAAAUCAAGUCAGGUUUGCAACAUAAUUGUAUUAAUCCUGGGAUUGCUGUCCAGCCUGGGAUUGCUUCUAGGGACACACGUAUCAUCAAAUAUAUCGACCACCGUUCACUUAGUGGCAGCCUUCUUGGCCUUUGGAUUAGAAGCCGUGUACAAUAUCUGUCACUGUAUCCGGUACUACAGCACAGUUUUCUUGCUGUCCAUGAAUGGCUGAUAACGGCUGCAAUGUACAGCUACAAAAUGACAUUUGCCCAAGAACUUCAGCACCUACGCCUAAUAUUGCCUAAAAAACUCAAGGAUGACUGGAUAUGCGAGAAUAAAUCAUCUGAUAAUGAUGGAGAAUUUGCAGUCUAAAAAUCACCAGUGAACUUCCCAGUUUGCAACAUAAGAGUAAGAGCUGAGAAACUUACAGUAAAGGGUAAGCUUACCCUGCACCUCAGCAAAGAGGCCAAUCAUGUCAAUAUAUGAAAGAGCUGCACUGCGUCUGAUCAGUUCCUACCAAGAAAGAAGAGUCGAGAGU